rnacentral:lncRNA from 1 species
UCCACACUAAGGAUCUCUGCAAUAAAGACUGAGACGUUUCAUAUCUACCAGCUUCUCAAAAGGAUCUGUGAUCCCCAAAAGGACCACUUAAUGGAAGUAGAAGAGCAAUAUUGAAUUUGUCCAACAUAAAAAUA